rnacentral:lncRNA from 1 species
AGAUGUAUUGUAGGCAGUAGGCCCGUAUCCUGUUGUCUCGUGCCGAGUUCAGAGUUCUUCUGCAGCCAUGUCUCAUUGGUUUGAAAUUUCUACCUCUGUCGACAAAAGAAAUUUCUAUCAGGUUCAAAUCUUGUGUAUUUCCCUUUUUUAUUAGUGAUUGAUGGAUGCUGUGGACUGAAUCUUUUGUUGUUUGGUAGAAGUACUGCUCUGUGAAACUGAUCAAUACAUUAAUUAGUUUUGUGAAAUUGAUGAUAGAGGAAGACUUUGUCACUCUUACUUGUUACAAGCUAUAUUUCAAUUUGCUGAACAUGGUUUAUCGAAAAAAAUGCAGUGUGUUUUAUUAAAACAAACUCUGUAGGUACAGGUAAUACUUUUUUUUGCAAUAUUUGCAGAAUAGCUGUGAAGUGCAUAAUAUCAGCCGGGUGAGGUCAUGAUUAAUGCAGAUUAUAUUCUAUUCUAUUUUUAUAAUUCAUUUUCAUAAAUUACCUAUCAUGCACAUAAUGGCUUGCUGAUGGUAUCUAAGACACUAAGACUAAGAAGAAUUUCCUCUGCUUAGUGCUGGUUGUAACUGCAUAUUUUACUAUUUGAGUAGUCUUUCCAGUGAGUUUCCUGUUCAGUUCCUUUUACACAUAGCUUGUUAUUCCGUCAGUUUUCUGGGCAAACUUUUUGCUUGCGAUCAGCAUCGGACUGGCCCUUCUUUUAACUGCUAGACAAGCUAAAGAAACCAAAGAGAAUUGGAAGACAACAUACAGGAUGUUGUAUUGAUUAAUACUAAUUAAAUAUGCUGUAGCACCAGUCAUAUGACAACGGAUUGUUCUCUUGUACAUCUGAAAAAUGAAUAAUGGUCGGUUUGCUCAUUGCAGCAACCUCAUAAAUAGUUGCUCCUAAAACAUGCUAUUUUGGCUAUUAAGAUAGACAAGCUGUUAAACUCCUGUGUUGUCUUGAUUGGUGUGUGUCUGGAUUAUUUGGAUUGUCAAUCUUCAGCUGUAGUUCUUGGAGACGUGUCAGUUUGUAUUUGUAAGUGUCUUUGAAUAAUUAUCCUAUAUAUUCUGAAAUGUAGAGUGUCUUCGAAUAAAUGCCCUAUUUCUUGAUGUUGGAUUUUUUUCGUUGCCAGUAGUAGUACUAAUUACUAAAGGAUAUUGCUCAGGUUUUUGAAUAAUUACUAAGAACUCUGUUUUUUAACUUUCCAGGUUAGAAGAAAGAAGAUGCAAGAAGGAGAAGCUGCAAAUUGCAAGAGUCAACACCACAGCUCUUUUUCUGAAAAAAAAUAUAUUUAACAGAAGAGGAAAUGGCUAAGCACAUCAAUCCAUAUGUCAUGCUCAUAUAUGCACUGUCCAAGUUAAUACUAGUAUCUGUUGUAUCUAGGAGUAGUACUGUCUACUUAUGUAUGCUGAUCAAUCAAGAGCUUAUACUCAGUUAUUGGGUGUUAUGUUAUUGAGUUUUUAUAUGCUGACCCCUUCUUGUUAUGCUCUGUUAUUGAGUGUUAUGUGCUAUCAUAAUGUACACUCAAUUACUCAUAUAUUUGGUUUAAAGCAAAUAAUAUCCAUGUUAACAAUUUGGCUUUUUCCUUCUACCUCUAGGCUUUUUUCCCAUCCUCUUCCUUUAUGCCAAUUCUUUUUAGCAUUACAAUAGUUUGGUUCCUCCUUAUGUGCCAUUUCCACCUAGCAAAUACUAGUAGCCUUGUUGUAGAGAGUAUAGCGUAUAGCUUGCAGAAUCCUCAUACAGGAUCUUGAGUUGUUUUUCAGUUCUCUGAAAAUUUGAAAAUUUUUUGGUUUCAGAGAACUGGAGACUACAUAAUUUUAUGUACUGCAUGCUGAAAUAAAGCCAUAUACUGACAUACUAGGAAGCAAUUUGCCUUGUGAUUUGUGAGGGCUGUGAUGUGACGCAUUUUUUGUCCUUUCUAAAUUGUUGGGAGUCAAACUCGACAAUAAUCUGAUAGUAUCAAUGAAUUCAGUAGUUGUCUUCAUUUACACUGCUUUGUUAGGUGAGCAUUACCAGUGAUUACAUUAGUGAUAGCUAGUUUCUUUUUCUUGUUUACAAUAAUCUUGCAUACUGUUAUAAUUGCUCGAUCUAUCAUACUGAUUCCUGUCUCCUGGUUGGUGAUUGAGCUCUUGGUCGGCAGGUACUUCUCCCCUACAGCAGUAGCGGAUAAAAUCACUUGAAGUGAGCAUCUUCCUCCACAUAUCCACUGAUCUUAUGCAUUUAUUAGUUAUAUUACCUUUGAUUUCUGGUAAAUUGUUGGUCUUGCUCGCCUUGUUACCAUAAUUAUUUUGGUUGCCCAGCCAUGGAAGUAGAAUAAAUCUGGGAGCAAUGGGUAAUCUUCAAAUUAUCCGUUGAAAUUGUUCUGUUCUUUCUGUGAUGGCAAGGAUGCAUAUUGGGGAAAAAAUGAUAUAUGGCAUUAUAUAAACUGAACCUUUAUAGUUGCUGCAAUAGCCCGUGCAUAUGUUCUCUGGCUUGCUUUGGCUGGAGCAAUUUAUGAGUGAUGUUUCUGUAGCUGGCUUGUUUGCCGUGUGGACACAACACAGAGAUGUCGUUCUGCUUAGUAAUCUUGGCAAUUCUUCUCUCCCUCCUACCUCUAUAGAAAAGAUUAACAAAAAAAGUCCCUUUGAUUGUUCACAGAAUCCUAGUUUGUCCAAUGUCCAUUAGAUAUUUCUUUUGGCUGCUUCUGUUAUGCAGGAUACAAAAUCUUAGGCUUGUGAAUUUGUGAUGGAUGAUUCAGAUCAGAUACUAUACUUCUGGACUGAUAUCUCUGAACUGAAACAAGUAACCUGGUAAGCCUGUGACAAUUUGUUGUAACGAUUUUUUUGGUGGUUUGUAAUAAAGACGGUUAAGAGUUAACUUUAAUUUAUGUUUGCUUUGCAGCAGAUACAUGGAGAUGAGGUUUUGAAUUGUCGUCUGACAGAAGGAAACAAGGUUGCAAUUUAUGCUACUGUUAGAUUCUAAGACAAACGAAGAUGGAUAUUUAACUUUGGCCAUGAGCAUACUUGUUUGCAACUUUUAAGUAAUCUGUUAAAUUGAUCGUGUAGAGUUUUCUUAUUAGCUAUUGAAAUGCACUCAUACAAACAGUACUAUGUUCAUGUAUGGACAAGUUUUUUUUUAAAAAAAAAAACAGAUUUUUCAGAAUUCAGAGUUAGUACUAUGUUCAUGUAUCAGAGUGUCAAGAGAUGGAUUAGAGUUAAGUACUGCUAGUUCUCAGCAUUUUACUUGGUGUCUGUAAUUCCUCCAAGAUUUGUGCUCCUGUGAAAUUGGUUCGUGCUUUCUUGACGAGCCUUCAGAGUUGGUACUUUGAUAUCAAGUGUACUAUGAUCAAAAUUCAAAGAAGGGUGAUGGCAAUAUCAGACAAUUAGAAUCCCUUUAAAGCUUACUUCUUGUAAUCUUUGUGCAAAUAGAUUGGGAUCAUCUGUGCAAGGACAGGGGCUAAAUUGUACUAGUGUUGCUGGUAGUCCAAGUCUUCGAACGUGGUAAAUUUUUUUGAUUCAUAUGUUUUUUUAUAUAAAAUUACUGCAUUGCAAUAGCUCUAGGAUCGUCACCUUUCUCGCUCGGAUUCGUGUUCCCCUUGCCCUGGCUUUUGAUCAUGAGAUGUAUGCCUGGCAAGCGUUGCCUUUUUGGUUGAACCUGAUCCGAUUUGAUAGAUAUAUGUCUGUUCGCUGAAUCGUUUUAACGGCUGAUACUCAUUAGCCGCCCAAAUGAUUCAUAGAACAGGCAAGGGUGAAAUUCUAUUUACCUCCGCUUUUUUAUGCCCAUUUGCUUGCGGUUGGAUCUGCUCUGCUCGAGUGUUUCAGUUUUUCCUUUCCAUAUGUGUUCUAGUAGCAGUUUUGCCUCUCAUUCAGAAGCCUUUUACAUAUAUGCCAUUAUAAAAGAUCAAAAAAACCUAUAUACCAUUAAAGUUAAAAAGUUUGCCUGUAACAACCUGUAUGUGUACAUGUGAAUUUUUUAAAUAAUAUAUAUAUAUAUAUAUAUAUAUAUAUAUAUAUAUAUAUAUAUAUAAGAGGCAAAAUUUCAGUCUAAUCUUUCGUCUGGUCGGAUUUUCGUCUGGCCUCUUCCCAGACUGGUUUCGACUCGCAGUCUAAAUCCAAAUCCAAGUCGGGCGUGCUAUUGUAAAGGCAGACGUCGAACCAAAACAAAAAUGUCAAAAAUACCAAACCCAAGCAAAGCCAACGGGAAUCACUCCAUGAGAGUAGUUCAGCCCAACCGUGCGAAUGCUAGAUGCAGAACCGAAGCGAACUUUGUGGCAAAAGCAUGAUCAGGCCAAGCAAAAAUACACGGAGUACAAUACAUGAACAGGAAAGACAUCCACUUGCGUGCCGCCGAGGCCACCGAGUUCGUCCGAGGCGAUUGUUGCGAAGGUCAUCUCGCAGAUGGCGACACGUGCGUCGUGGAGCGUGGAGGCAAAGCGCGACGCGCGGACGCCGCCGCUCCCAAUCCCAGCGCCUAUGGUGAAGAGGUCGUAGUCGUACUCCCCCUUGGCGGAGGCGCCGUUGGGCGCCGCCGCGGCGGACGCCGAGACGUGGCGGCGGCAGGGGCAGGCGAGCCUCGGGAGCGCGGCAAGGGACGGGAGGCGGAGGAAGCCGCGGCGGAGCUGGUGGGUCCCGCGCGGGGAGAGGGUGUGGGUGAGGGUUUGCGCGUGGAGGAGCAGGAGAAAGGGAGCGUCGCGUGCGCUGCCAUGGCUGGCUCCUCGCCGCAGUGUCGACGGCAGCGCCGCUUGCGAGAGUGUGGGGGAGGUGAGGGAGCGAGGAGGCGAGGCGAGGCCUGGCCAGAUCUUGAUUUGUCUGGUGCGUGUGUAGAUGGAGAAAGAGAAUGCGUCUUCCUCCCCGUCUGAAGGCGUAUAGUUUAAGAACCCCGCUAAUCAACUAUGAAGGCAUAAUUGUGAUAGGCUAAAAUAGUUUACAUAAACAAAUUUGCGACCCACAUGCUGCCAGGUUCCAUCGGUGACUAAAAUAAAUUAAAUAUGAAAAAUAUAUUUUAUAAUUAUCUUAUACCUAAUACUAAAGAGGUAAAAUUUUAGCCUUUUUUUUGUCUGGAUUUUUUUGUCUAGCUAUUUAUAUUGUCUCAACUGUUACCAUGUUCACUCAGGAAUCUGCGUGCGGAAAUCUGCCGACAAUAAUUUAGAAGACAGGAAAGACCAUCACGAUUUAGAUCGAGACCAAAAUACUCCUCCUCAAAAUUGAAUCCAGGUCGCACACGACACAGACCCAAAAACGAACCAAACUAGAUGUGGAUUCUAGAUCCAGACCAGUACCAAAUCAAGUCCAAAACAAAUCACAUACCAAAUCUAUGAAAACCAUACCAAAUAAAGGCAACCAAUAAUAUAUAUAUAUAUAUAAAGCCGAGCAUGAACAGCAACGGUUAAGAGCAUGGUUUAGGAGCUGCCUGCCUGAAAUAAAAGAGACGACUUCUGGCGACCAUGGACAGAUAAGAAAUAGAGAGAGCGAAGAUGGUGAAGAUGCUUGGCCACGCUCUGGCUUCUCUCGACGCCCUCCGUACCCCCUGGCCACUACUCGUCGGCGCGCCUGACCGAUGCGGUGCGGUGGCAGGAGAGCAGCGAGUCAGCAACUGCAUCAGUCGUGGGAAAAAGCAGGAGGAGCAGUAGCAUGUGGAUCUUGACGAAUGGUGCCAUCUUGUCCCCUACCUCUGAUGUGCUAGCGACGAACAUGGUUGCCUGUGUUGCGUGAUGGCCGAAGGGAGGAUAUAAUAGGAUAAGG